CAUGUAGGCGGUUUUUUAAGUCUGGAGUGAAAAUGCGGGGCUCAACCCCGUAUGGCUCUGGAUACUGGAAGACUUGAGUGCAGGAGAGGAAAGGGGAAUUCCCAGUGUAGCGGUGAAAUGCGUAGAUAUUGGGAGGAACACCAGUGGCGAAGGCGCCUUCUGGACUGUGUCUGACGCUGAGAUGCGAAAGCUAGGGUAGCGAACG
rnacentral:rRNA from 1 species